rnacentral:rRNA from 1 species
AGAUUAAGUUAUUAAGGGCGCACGGUGGAUGCCUUGGCACUAGAAGCCGAAGAAGGACGUUACUAACGACGAUAUGCUUUGGGUAGCUGUAAGUAAGCGUUGAUCCAGAGAUUUCCGAAUGGGGGAACCCAACAUGAGUGAUGUCAUGUUAUCGACAUGUGAAUUCAUAGCAUGUCAGAAGGCAGACCCGGAGAACUGAAACAUCUUAGUACCCGGAGGAAGAGAAAGAAAAAUCGAUUCCCUGAGUAGCGGCGAGCGAAACGGGAAGAGCCCAAACCAACAAGCUUGCUUGUUGGGGUUGUAGGACACUCUAUACGGAGUUACAAAAGAACAUGUUAGACGAAUCAUCUGGAAAGAUGAAUCAAAGAAGGUAAAAAUCCUGUAGUCGAAAACAUAUUCUCUCUUGAGUGGAUCCUGAGUACGACGGAGCACGUGAAAUUCCGUCGGAAUCUAGGAGGACCAUCUCCUAAGGCUAAAUACUCUCUAGUGACCGAUAGUGAACCAGUACCGUGAGGAAAGGUGAAAAGUACCCCGGAAGGAGUGAAAGAGAACUUGAAACCGUGUGCUUACAAGUAGUCAGAGCCCGUUAAUGGGUGAUGGCGUGCCUUUUGUAGAAUGAACCGGCGAGUUACGAUCUGAUGCAAGGUUAAGCAGCGAAUGUGGAGCCGUAGCGAAAGCGAGUCUGAAUAGGGCGUUGAGUAUUUGGUCGUAGACCCGAAACCAGGUGAUCUACCCUUGGUCAGGUUGAAGUUCAGGUAACACUGAAUGGAGGACCGAACCGACUUACGUUGAAAAGUGAGCGGAUGAACUGAGGGUAGCGGAGAAAUUCCAAUCGAACUUGGAGAUAGCUGGUUCUCUCCGAAAUAGCUUUAGGGCUAGCCUCAAGUGAUGAUUAUUGGAGGUAGAGCACUGUUUGGACGAGGGGCCCUCUCGGGUUACCGAAUUCAGACAAACUCCGAAUGCCAAUCAAUUUAACUUGGGAGUCAGAACAUGGGUGAUAAGGUCCGUGUUCGAAAGGGAAACAGCCCAGACCACCAGCUAAGGUCCCAAAAUAUAUGUUAAGUGGAAAAGGAUGUGGCGUUGCCCAGACAACUAGGAUGUUGGCUUAGAAGCAGCCAUCAUUUAAAGAGUGCGUAAUAGCUCACUAGUCGAGUGACACUGCGCCGAAAAUGUACCGGGCUAAACAUAUUACCGAAGCUGUGGAUUGUCCGUAGGACAAUGGUAGGAGAGCGUUCUAAGGGCGUUGAAGCAUGAUCGCAAGGACAUGUGGAGCGCUUAGAAGUGAGAAUGCCGGUGUGAGUAGCGAAAGACGGGUGAGAAUCCCGUCCACCGAUUGACUAAGGUUUCCAGAGGAAGGCUCGUCCGCUCUGGGUUAGUCGGGCCCUAAGCUGAGGCCGACAGGCGUAGGCGAUGGAUAACAGGUUGAUAUUCCUGUACCACCUAGUAUCGUUUUAAUCGAUGGGGGACGCAGUAGGAUAGGCGAAGCGUGCUGUUGGAGUGCACGUCCAAGCAGUAAGGCUGAGUGUUAGGCAAAUCCGGCACUCGUAAGGCUGAGCUGUGAUGGGGAGAGGAAAUUGUUUCCUCGAGUCGUUGAUUUCACACUGCCGAGAAAAGCCUCUAGAUAGAUAACAGGUGCCCGUACCGCAAACCGACACAGGUAGUCAAGAUGAGAAUUCUAAGGUGAGCGAGCGAACUCUCGUUAAGGAACUCGGCAAAAUGACCCCGUAACUUCGGGAGAAGGGGUGCUCUUUAGGGUUCACGCCCAGAAGAGCCGCAGUGAAUAGGCCCAAGCGACUGUUUAUCAAAACACAGGUCUCUGCUAAACCGUAAGGUGAUGUAUAGGGGCUGACGCCUGCCCGGUGCUGGAAGGUUAAGAGGAGUGGUUAGCUUCUGCGAAGCUACGAAUCGAAGCCCCAGUAAACGGCGGCCGUAACUAUAACGGUCCUAAGGUAGCGAAAUUCCUUGUCGGGUAAGUUCCGACCCGCACGAAAGGCGUAACGAUUUGGGCACUGUCUCAACGAGAGACUCGGUGAAAUCAUAGUACCUGUGAAGAUGCAGGUUACCCGCGACAGGACGGAAAGACCCCGUGGAGCUUUACUGUAGCCUGAUAUUGAAAUUCGGCACAGCUUGUACAGGAUAGGUAGGAGCCAUUGAAACGUGAGCGCUAGCUUACGUGGAGGCGUUGGUGGGAUACUACCCUAGCUGUGUUGGCUUUCUAACCCGCACCACUUAUCGUGGUGGGAGACAGUGUCAGGCGGGCAGUUUGACUGGGGCGGUCGCCUCCUAAAAGGUAACGGAGGCGCUCAAAGGUUCCCUCAGAAUGGUUGGAAAUCAUUCACAGAGUGUAAAGGCAUAAGGGAGCUUGACUGCGAGACCUACAAGUCGAGCAGGGUCGAAAGACGGACUUAGUGAUCCGGUGGUUCCGCAUGGAAGGGCCAUCGCUCAACGGAUAAAAGCUACCCCGGGAUAACAGGCUUAUCUCCCCAAGAGUUCACAUCGACGGGGAGGUUUGGCACCUCGAUGUCGGCUCAUCGCAUCCUGGGGCUGUAGUCGGUCCCAAGGGUUGGGCUGUUCGCCCAUUAAAGCGGUACGCGAGCUGGGUUCAGAACGUCGUGAGACAGUUCGGUCCCUAUCCGUCGUGGGCGUAGGAAAUUUGAGAGGAGCUGUCCUUAGUACGAGAGGACCGGGAUGGACAUACCUCUGGUGUACCAGUUGUCGUGCCAACGGCAUAGCUGGGUAGCUAUGUAUGGACGGGAUAAGUGCUGAAAGCAUCUAAGCAUGAAGCCCCCCUCAAGAUGAGAUUUCCCAACUUCGGUUAUAAGAUCCCUCGAAGAUGACGAGGUUAAUAGGUUCGAGGUGGAAGCGUGGCGACACGUGGAGCUGACGAAUACUAAUCGAUCGAAGACUUAAUCAAUUU